rnacentral:rRNA from 1 species
AUGCGCGGCAAAAAGAGGGCAUUGUCGCCGCCGGCCGUCGCCGUCGAUGCCACGGCAAGGCUCCAGGACCGGCACCUCGCCGAGAUACUCCUGCGGCUCCCCUCCCCCGCUAGCCUCGCGCGCGCCGCCGUCGUCUGCCGGCGUUGGCGCCGAAUCUCCGUCUCCGCGGCUUUCCUUCGCCAGUUCCGCCGCCUCCACCCGCCCCAACUCGUCGGCUUCUUUAUCUGCAACGGUGGUUUUCAUGUGGAGAGGGUCGGCGGCCGCCUCGUCGGCCACAUACUCGACCCCACCUUCCUCCCGGUGCUCCCGCCGCCUCAGGGCGUCGGAAGGCCCACCCAGCGCUGCCUCGACUUCUCCCUCCGUCGCGUCCCCGACGUGGACCACUGGACCCUCGCUGACGCCCGCGACGGCCUUCUCCUCCUCAGCUCUACCUUCAACGAUCGCAUGAGCAUCCCGCGCAACUUCGUCGUCUGUGAUCCCUUGUCCCGCCGCUCUGUCCUCGUGGAGCACGCGCCGACGUAUCAGCUCGACGGCGAAAGCGCCUACCUCGGCGCCGCUCUGAUCGUCGUGGACGGCGGAGCCGGCUCGAGUACCCUCUCCUUCGAGGUGAUCCUCGUGACCUACUUCAUGUUUGGGCCGCGCCUCUGCGUCUUCUCCUCGCGCACGGGGCAAUGGAGCGUUCAUCCCGAAGCCAGGUGCGGCAAGUCCCUGAUGCCGAUGCUGAGCGGGGUGGGCGACCCCGCGCACGCCAAUGGUGCGUGUACUGGGUGA